AGGGGUUUGAUUUCACGGGGCUCAGAACGAACGCUGGCGGCGUGGUUAAGGCAUGCAAGUCGAACGAGGUGUGUCCGGAAGGUAACGGAAGACACAUUUAGUGGCGAACGGGUGAGGAAUAGAUAGGUAACGUACCCUGGACUCAGGAAUAGCGGCGGAACUUCGGUUCCUUUGCGAAAGUGCCGGUAAUACCUGAUGACAUCAUUGGAUCGCAUGGUCCGGUGAUCAAAGGUCCGCAGGUCUGGGAGCGGCCUAUCUCCUAUCAGCUUGUUGGUGGGGUAACGGCCUACCAAGGCUUCGACAGGUACCAGGCGUGAGAGCGGGAGUGCUGGCACAUCGGGACUGAGACACUGCCCGGACAUCUACGGAUGGCUGCAGCAACGAAUAUUCCGCAAUGGGCGAAAGCCUGACGGAGCGACGCCGCGUGUAGGAUGAAGCACUUCGGUGUGUAAACUACUGUCAGGGGUUCGGAAGAAAGUGACCAACCCCCAAAGGAAGCCUCGGCUAACUCCGUGCCAGCAAGCCGCGGUAAUACGGAGGAGGCAAGCGUUGUCUCCGGAAUUACUGGGCUUUAAAGCGUGCGUUAAGCGGGGAUGGCAGGCUGCUCC
rnacentral:rRNA from 1 species